AAAGGCGAUCAUGACUGAGGACAGCAUGCGAACGUUAAAAGGGGAAGAGGUGUGGGCGUGAACGAGGACGCUAAAGGCACGCCCCCAGCAGGCUGUCUGAAGGAGCAAUAAAUGCAUGCAAGCAAGGAGGAAAGAGUGCUUGAAAGAUACAGAAGAUCCAAAGUUUUUCCUGGCAAGUACAAAAUGCUUAAAUUGCACAACUGCUUGUCCACGGUGGAGUACACAUGCCUACCAUCACUUGUCAGAACAUAUUGUCAUCCAUAACAGGUGGUGGAGGACGAAAAAAGCAGAAAAGAUCUUUCACGUGUUUUAUCGAACAGUUUCAAAAUACAGUAAACACAAGUGAGCAGACCCGCCGACGGCCUCAACUGACACCGCUAUAUAUUUCACUAAGUCUUGGUUUGAAUAUACAGUGUGUAACUGGCGCCAAUAUUGAGUCGUUGGUGGCCAUUACAACGAAAAUACAAUUUAUUUACGCUUGUUGUUUUGUAAAAGUACUUUAUUUCUAUGUGAACUUUCAUAUCUGUUUUUUCUUUAAAUCCUCUUCAUGUGUUAUUUGGAAUGUUUUGUUAAGAAUCACUUCCGGGUCACGUGCCGUGGAUAGCGAGGAAUGAGAGAGAAAGAUCGAGAAGACAACUUGAGAGAGAGAGACAGAGACAGAGCUACAAUACCGUGUGGUCUACGUGAUUUAAUUUGAUCUACUUUCGUUUUACCAAGGUGCACAUGGUUUGUCAUUUUGAGUUUAGUUAUUUUAUGUCUUGUUAAAGAUAUUGUAAUUUUGAUGCUGUUUGAAAUGUGUUUUAGUUUUCACGGUGUUCCACGAGUAAACGUUUUUUGGACAUCA